UUGACCUCGGAUUAGGUAGGAAUACCCGCUGAACUUAAGCAAUGGUACGCGGAGGACAUUACUGAGUUAUC
rnacentral:rRNA from 1 species